rnacentral:rRNA from 1 species
GCGGUGCAUUAGCUAGUUGGUAAGGUAAAGGGCUUACCAAGGCGAUGAUGCAUAGCCCGAGUUGAGAGACUGAUCGGGCCACAUUGGGGACUGAGACACGGGCCCAAACUCCUACGGGAGGCAGCAGUAGGGAAUCUUCCACAAUGGACGCAAGUCUGAUGGAGCAAACGCCGCGUGAGUGAAGAAGGUUUUCGGAUCGUAAAAAGCUCUGUUGUUGGUGAAGAAGGAUAGAGGUAGUAACUGGCCCUUUUAUUUGACGGUAAUCAACCCAGAAAGUCACGGGCUAACUACGCGCCCAGCAGCCGCGGUAAAU